rnacentral:rRNA from 1 species
CCUACGGGGGGCAGCAGUCGAGAAUCAUUCACAAUGGGGGAAACCCUGAUGGUGCGACGCCGCGUGGGGGAAUGAAGGUCUUCGGAUUGUAAACCCCUGUCAUGUGGGAGCAAAUUAAAAAGAUAGUACCACAAGAGGAAGAGCCGGCUAACUCUGUGCCAGCAGCCGCGGUAAUACAGAGGUCUCAAGCGUUGUUCGUAAUCACUGGGCGUAAAGCGUGCGUAGGCUGUUUCGUAAGUCGUGUGUGAAAGGCGCGGGCUCAACCCGCGGACGGCACAUGAUACUGCGAGACUAGAGUGAUGGAGGGGGAAGCGGAAUGCUCGGUGUAGCAGUGAAAUGCGUAGAGAUCGAGAGGAACACUCGUGGCGAAGGCGGGUUCCUGGACAUUAACUGACGCUGAGGCACGAAGGCCAGGGGAGCGAAAGGGAUUAGAUACCCUAGUAGUC